rnacentral:rRNA from 1 species
ACAGAGACUACAAGCGUUACUCGGAAUCACUGGGCGUAAAGGGUGCGUAGGCGGUCAAAGGAGUCACGUAUGAAAGGCCAGGGCUUAACUUUGGUUAUGUGCGUGAGACCCUCUGACUCGAGCUGUUUAUAGGGGUAAGCGGAAUUCCUGGAGUAGCAGUGAAAUGCGUAGAUAUCAGGAAGAACACCAGAGGCGAAGGCGGCUUACUGGGUAACAGCUGACGCUGAGGCACGAAAGCGUGGGGAGCAAAAGG